rnacentral:lncRNA from 1 species
GUGGCAACCCGCGAGACCUCUGCCACAGAGAAAUCGGCCGGCCACGGUCGCUUCCCAGAACGAUUGCACCACUGCGGCUGCCGCCGGCCUGGCGCUGCCCCCAAGCCUCGCAGUCCUGGCAGCUUGGAGGGGAGAACCCUGGGCCGGAUCCCACAGACCCAGAGGUACCUGUAUUGGGGAGUGGAGAUGGUGCCUUAUGGGCUACCCCUUCAAACCCACGCUCCUGCAAGUCCGUCUGACUAGAGGAAGGAGGGAGGGGGCUGAAGGCACAGGCCCAAGGGUUUCACACUUCUCCAAGCCCAGGCCUUGAGAAUUCUGUUUCUGUCCUCUUCACUCAUUGAGCCUAGCCUGGGACUCAGUUUCCCCUCACCUGAAUGAAGAAAGGAAGAGGAAGAGUUAAUGGGUUCAAGGUCUCCAGUGACCCCUGAAAACCUGUUGCUGUUCCCGGAGGUUGAAAGACCCCCUGCAGCAGAGCUCCAGGCCCCUCUUCUGCUGCACAGGCUCCCGGUCCCUCUUGACUGUGGGGGUGACAUAUGAAGAAGGGAUCAGGAAUGGUGUCAGGCAGCCCUGAGUGGGGUCUGCCACACAGCCAGGUGGUGGGAGCCCUGCCACUGCCCUUCUUCCCCAGCCCUGGGUCUUCUGGCCUCUUGAACUAAGGUUCUGGGGAGUGGGAUGGGCUUCUGCCUCGCAGAGACCCCAGCACCCUGGCCCUGGGAAAGGGGGCCACAUCUGCAGGACUCCUUCAGCAGUCAGGGUCAAAUAGGGCCCUGAUUUGGGGUUGAGGCGUAUUGCCUGGCAGGGCAGACUUUCUGCUGCUUGGGGGAGGAGCAGGGUGAGGCAGCAAACGCCAGAGAUGGGCAGGUGACUUGAGAGAAGGCUCUGGGACGGCGUUUUGAUGACACAGAGAUGACUCUCAAACCACAUCAGCCUCAUCUUUCAGAACCUUGCUGACCCCUUCCUCCCUGUCCAUUAGUCUCCAGCCCGGGGUCCUGCCAAGCCAGCCAGGGCAGGGGGCCUAGAGCCUGGGGGGAGGGAGGCAGAGGAGGACCCUGGCUCUCCAUCCCCCAGAGUGAAUGUAUGGACUGGACCCGGGCGGAGUGGAAUGGAUGAGCUUGUUUAUCCACGGGAGCAGGAGGGGGAAUGGCUGAAGGAUGCUGUUUGCGCUGACAAGCCUAGAGCUGAGCGUGGAGCUCUGCUUCCCUGCCCCCACCCCCUUCCCUUCACUUAACACCAUUAACUAAUCAUUCUCCUCUCUGGCCUGAAAACAAAGCCAGCUAACCACCAAGGACAGUCAGUUCAGCAUUCUUCUU